rnacentral:snRNA from 1 species
AUACCUUUCUCGGCCUUUUGGCUAAGAUCAAGUGUAGUAUCUGUUCUUAUCAGUUUAAUAUCUGAUACGUGGGUCAAUGGUCCACACGAUAUUAAAUUAAUUUCUUUAGGGGGAGAGCUCACCACAGUAGCUUGCUAUUGGAGCUCUCAAGCGUCGCCCAAGCGUUGCACUAUUGCAUGGGCCUGGCGCACCCCAC